GACGUAGGGCGCGAGCGUUGUCCGGAUUUAUUGGGCGUAAAGAGCUCGUAGGCGGCUUGUUGCGUCGGCUGUGAAAACCCGCGGCUUAACCGUGGGCUUGCAGCCGAUACGGGCAGGCUAGAGUUCGGUAGGGGAGAGUGGAAUUCCUGGUGUAGCGGUGAAAUGCGCAGAUAUCAGGAAGAACACCAAUGGCGAAAGCAGCUCUCUGGGACGGUACUGACGCUGAGACGCGAAAGCGUGGGGAGCGAACAGG
rnacentral:rRNA from 1 species